rnacentral:lncRNA from 1 species
UUUUUAAGUUUCGAGCCCAAGUAACGGUUUCUUGUUUAUUUAGCAAAAAUGCUGCGUUAUUGACUGGCUCAAUUUUGACGGGCUGUUCAUCUCUGUGAUUGAAUGCGAGGAAAUGAAAUCUGUAAAAUUUCCCAGAUUAUCUCAUUUACAACACCGGACAUGAGAAUUAAAAAAAAACUUAAAAAUCUUGCAUGUUUUAAGACGAAAGAUUCGGUUUUGACGACUGGGUUACCUUACAUUUUUGAAAAAUAUUCGUGUUCGUGGCUUAGUGACUUUAAGGUUGGUGGGUUGGGUUAGUGGCUAAACUUUUAGAAGAGUCGGAGAAAAGAAAGUUUAACUUUUAUCCAUUUUAUUGACUACUUUUGCUCCUUUUAUUUGAUAUUUAAGUUAUAUUGUCCAGAAAGGUACGGUUUGUAUUGCUCAAGUUAUAAGGACCAUGAUUGCUAACGAUAGAUUGACAAUACAAUGUAUCUCUUAUCUUCAUUUGGAUUUUUAGAUUCAGAAUUUUCACAAUGGAGAAUUACGAGGUUCUUGAGCAAAUUGGCAAAGGUUCCUUCGGGUCAGCUCUCCUUGUUAGACAUAAACAUGAGAAGAAACUGUAAGUACUUCACCUUUAAACAUGGUUUUGUGAGUAAUGAUUUCUUCCGCAGUUUGAAUAUUUUGUCAUCUGUUUGCUGUCGAUAGGUAUGUUUUGAAGAAAAUCCGGCUUGCUCGGCAGACUGGUAGGACAAGAAGAUCUGCUCAUCAAGAGGUUUGUUAUCUAUUAACAUUUAGAAGAAUCUCUGUAUGACAAUGGCCUUUGAUGUUGCUGUGUUAUUUAAUAUCCAUAGUCUUUCCAGAUAUGCUGUAAUCGAUCUACAGUAUUCUUGAGCCAUAGCUGUUGACUUUUGUCCUGUAGAGUAACCAUAUCCUGUUAUUUCCCUGUAGAUGGAGUUGAUUUCAAAGAUACAUAACCCAUUCAUUGUGGAAUAUAAAGAUUCUUGGGUUGAAAAGGUAUCAUUCUAUCAUCUAUACAUAUCUUUUCAUUUCGUGAACAAAGUAUCUGAAAUUAUAACGAAUUCUAUUGUCUAUGGAUGUGUGCUAUCAGGGGUGCUAUGUGUGCAUAAUCAUAGGCUAUUGCAAAGGAGGAGACAUGUAAGCUUAUUCUUCUCGGCAGUGUUACCCUGUUUGGCUAGAGAAUAUGCUUUCUGAUAUCCGUAUUGACUUUCUGCUGCUCCUGCUCCUGAUUCCUCUUCCUUACAGGGCGGAAGCAAUAAAGAAAACCAAUGGCGUACACUUCUCCGAAGAGGUUUGUGUGAGACUUGUUUGAUAAACUCUGACAAUUUAUUACUCAAAAUUCUGAAUCUCUUGAAACUUUUUUUUGGUAUUAUCAGAAACUCUGCAGUUGGCUUGUUCAGCUCUUAAUGGCUCUUGAAUACUUGCAUGCCAAUCACAUUCUUCAUCGCGAUGUCAAGGUUGGUUAUGAUUGUCUCAGGAGACCAACACAAUAUAUUGAAAAAUCUCCAUCCUGAUACAGAACUAACUUAUUUUGAUCCAUCCAGUGUUCGAACAUAUUCUUGACAAAAGAUCAAGACAUACGCCUUGGUGAGUUGCUAAACAUAUAUGUCACAUUACAUCAUUUUCCUAGUCAGACUAACACAACAUCUACUAAAUUGUAAGAAAUCGGCUCUAUGAUCUCUGCAGGCGAUUUCGGACUUGCCAAGGUCUUAACAUCAGAUGACCUCGCCUCUUCAGUAAGUAUAUUUUACUUUAACAUUUCACUUAUGUAUUUGCUUUAAACUCAUGUUUGAUCAUUAGCUUCUUGAAAACCCAGGUGGUUGGAACACCAAGCUACAUGUGCCCCGAGCUUCUAGCUGAUAUUCCCUAUGGGUCCAAGUCUGAUAUUUGGUCGCUUGGCAAGUUUCUCAUUCAUGGCUAAGAUUUUUUUUAACCUUCAGCUUAAGAUAAUGAAAGAAUUUAUUCAUAUGAAACUCUUAUCUUCUUUUCUUCAGGAUGUUGUAUGUAUGAGAUGACGGCUAUGAAACCUGCAUUCAAAGCUUUUGUAAGCUCUAAUACUUAGAUUUAUGUUCCUCCGGGUUAUGUUCAUGAGAAGUUCCUAAUGGUUCCUGGCGUCUCAAAUGCUUGCAGGACAUGCAAGGACUAAUAAACAGGAUUAACAGAUCAAUCGUUCCUCCACUUCCGGCACAAUAUUCUGCAGCCUUGUAAGUCUACGAUCUUAGUUUUCUAAAUGUGAGAUCUGUUAAAACUUACUGAUUUUGUGUGCUGCUUUCUUCAGCCGAGGUCUGGUUAAGAGUAUGCUCCGGAAAAAUCCAGAACUCCGACCAAGCGUAUGUCAUCUGAUUCUGUCCUUUGGUAUAUGGUCAUAACCUGAAACUGAACAAACUGGACCAGUAAACAUCAUUGCUCUUCUUCUGUGUAGGCUGCUGAGCUUCUCAGACAACCACUGCUUCAGCCGUAUAUCCAAAAGAUUCAUUUGAAGAUGAAUGAUCCAGGAAGUAAUGUAUUGCCUGCGCCAUGGCCAGAAUCUGCCAGGAGAAACAGUUUUCCCGAGCAAAGAAGGCGCCCUGCUGGUAAAAGCCAUAGCUUUGGUCCAAGCAGGUUUAGGGGUAACCAGGAAGAUUCUAAUUCGUCCAUAAAAAAACCCGUCCCCACAUAUCUGAACCGUGCAAAGCCACUGGAUUUGUCUACAGAUGAAAGCGGUGAUGGAACGGGUGUUCAUAGAACUUCAGAGGCCUCUAAGAGUUCUAGGUUUGUUCCAGUGAGAGCUUCAGCCUCACCUUUGAGAUCAAGAAAUCCUAGGAGUGACCGUGGUCAAGUAAGUGAUCCUAACAAAAUGCUGUUCUUUACUGGUUUUCUUGUUGAUUUAUCAGAGUAAAAGAAUGGUGGUUUCUAUAUGUUGCAGCUUCCUGUUUCAUCACAGCGUACAAACCGAAAACCAGCCGCUUUGAUUCGCAGAGCCUCCAUGCCUACCUCAAGAAAACCUGCAAAAGAAAUCAAAGACCCUCUGUACAUUUCAAAAACCAGUUUUCUCUACCAGAUUAAUUCUCCUGACGUGUCAAUGAAUGCACCAAGAAUUGACAAGAUUGAGUUUCCACUAGCAUCAUAUGAGGAAGAGCCUUUUGUUCCGGUCGUGCGUGGGAAGAAGAAGAAAGCAUCGUCUAAAGGUUCCUACAGUCCACCUCUAGAGCCACCACUAGACUGCUCAAUCACAAAAGACAAAUUUACACUUGAACCAGGCCAAAACAGAGAAGGAGCGAUUAUGAAGGCAGUGUAUGAAGAUGCCUAUCUGGAAAACAGGAGUGAAUCAUCUGAUCAGAAUGCAACUGCUGGAGCAUCAAGCAGGGGUUCGUCAGGUGUAAGGAGACAAAGAUUUGAUCCUAGUUCUUAUCAGCAACGAGCUGAGGCAUUGGAGGGAUUGCUUGAAUUCAGUGCAAGGUUGCUUCAAGAUGAGAGGUACGAUGAGCUCAAUGUCUUGUUGAGGCCCUUUGGUCCAGGCAAAGUCUCACCCAGAGAAACAGCUAUUUGGUUGUCCAAGAGCUUCAAGGAAUCUACUACUAAUAAGCUGGAAGAUUGAGAAACGGGUGAUUUCUAAUUCUAACCUGUUGUGAUGUGAAAAUUUCCACUUUUAACAGUUUUUCCAACCAGAUGUCAAGAAAAUUGUUUCAAAGUUAACUACUUAGGCUGUGUUCUUAAAUGAGUAGCUGACCCUCUGUAUCUGAUACAUUGAAAUUCAAGAAAUGACUUGGCAGGUUACUAAAUUAGAAUUUAAAGAUAUUUCUUGAACUUCAGCACAGAUACAUGAAUGUACACAUGUUGUAAAGCAGACAAGAUAGAAUCCAGAAUAGUAAGACUUAACAAAGCAACUAAAACAGUAGUAUAACAAGCAAAACUGUAGAGCAAAUGGCCUUUUUAUACGCAGUGUGUGCAAGCCAGGGGGAGCAGUUGUUAAUCACUAGUUAAGUGUCUUGUGAUAUGCAACCUGCCAUUAAUCCCGAAAAAACAGUACUUAGAUGUUAACAAAUAUGUUUUGACUUCAAUUUGUAAACAUAGAAGUACCAAAUUCAAAUGAAUCCAUGAAUUUCCGAAAUAUAGCAGUUUUGAGUACUUACAGAAGUUGACGUCUUCAACAGUUCUCUGAUUGCCAUUGUGGCAUAACAAGAGGAUGGAAGAGUGAGUGCCAUUUUAAGCGCCAUCUGUGUCUGCUCAGAAUUUGGAUUUCCAGUGUCUUUUUCAUCAUCUUUUCUCUCCGUCUGGUCAUUCAAAUCGGUUUCAGGAGGGUUAGAAAUGGGAUUCAUUGAUUCAUCUUCAACUUCUUCAGCAGAUCCAACUUUAUCCACUGUCAUGGUUAUCCUGUCCAAAUCUGUUUCUGCCAAUGGUUUAUUGCUGUCAGUGUAAGUGAGUAACUCCCUGCAGCAAUUACCCGCGAAAUUAGUCUCGGUUCAUAGAGUCUCUGAUUUCAAAACUGGUGAAGUUCUAUCUAUGCACUGCGUACCAUUCAAAGUCUAUUGGUUUCUGGAAUACACGUCUAUAACCACCAGUCAUGCUAGUUAUCGAGAAUUCCCUGAAACAAUACUUUUAUUAGUAGAAUAUGGUAGAUGCUUGUGCUGAUGCAAAGUUACAAGCAGAAGGAUCUACAAGAAAAAGUGCAUAAGGGAAUUUACUUUACACCGUGAAUGCUGUCAGUUAGGCUGAUACCGUCCUGAACAAUGUAAGCAAAAAUUUAUAGAUUCAUCAGCAGAGAUGUAAAUUUUAGAAAGAACAAACUGUCAAGAAGUGCGUUCAAUAUUUCUACAACAAACAGGGAAUGCUUGAAUAUGGCUUUAACAAACCUUCUUUGCCAAAUCAUGAUAAAUUUCCGCAAUGUCAUUGGACGGGUAAAUGACUCUUGAACUGUUGAAGCAAAGAGAAAGUUAAAUUUCAAUGUUACAAUGUAUAAAGUUAAAACUACUUGUAUUGGAAAAUUUUGCCAGCAACUUACCCAGGAAGAGGGAGGACGAUGUCACUGGUUGAGUAAGUUCCAGCUUCCAAAUCCUCUACACUUACAACCUGAAGAACACAAAAAAAGCAUUUCACAUGAAUAAUGCUAGCAUUAGCAAAAUACCAAUGAGAAUGUGCAGGCAUCAAAGCAUCUAUGUAUACAGAAAAAGAUAAUGCAGAAAUCUGAUUAAUCAAAUUUGAAUCCCGAAGUUACAUUAGCUCAUAAUCUGAAGAGAAAAAUUUAUCAACUAUGGACGGUCUAAUAAGAAGCUGUUCGAAAUAGAAACUAACCUUAACAAGGUCACUCCUCUCAGCUGGAAGAUCUACAAUAGCAGUAUCAUCUACCUGGUCACAAUCCAAUGCCUCUUCGUUGUUUUCCUUGUGCUCAGAUGUAUCAGCCAUCUUUUUUGUAGCAUCUAUCUUUGUACUUACCAAGUCCCCCAACACAACUUGGCUGGUCCCUGUAAACCACAAAAAACCAAUGGGUGACCGCUACAGAACGACCCAAGAUUUAUAAAGAAAAAAAAUUGAUGUACCAUAUUUUUUGACGCGCAGACUUGCUGCAUUGUUCCAUAAGUAGCUUUGGUAACUAUGUACAUACCUGCACAAUAAGAAUCACAUAUACAGUAAGAUAAAAAAGUGCUCGGCAUAUGUCAUAUCUAAGUCGCAAGAGGCAAAUGUUCUGGAAGAACUUAAGCUAUAUAAAGAACCAAGCGCUUACAUCAUUCUCAAAGUUCUGGGAAUGCCUUUCAGAGCCUGCAAGUAGUUACCAGGACAUUUCUUCAGACACUGCAGCUGUUUCAAUACACCCAAGAUUAAAACUGAUUAUCAUGGAAACCUUUGAACAAAAAAAAGCCCAACACAGGAGUAGCUGGAUACUUACUAUGGCUCUUUCAGCAACGAGGUAUCGCGGUAAUUGCCUUAAAGUCCCAUCAAUGUCGCCAGUUUCUUUGUAAUAUUCCCGGGCAUCAUUUACUACAUGCCUUUGUAGAAAAAAACUUAAAAGUCAAGAAAACCAUGCAUUGAUGCGUUCCUAAUUUCGUAGAGCCACAAUAUGAUUAUGAGAAGGAUAAGCAAUUGUAGCUGAGACUAGGUCAUGUAAAGGAUAUCAGUUUCUCUUGGAUCAAGAAUCAUGUCUACGGCAUCUUUCCACUCUCCUUUCAAUAGUGCAGCUCCAACAUGGUGCGUUGGUACUGAACCACUUCCAAAACGCUGCACAUGAAUACAAAAUUCACAAGAUAUCAAUUUUCAUAAGAUUCAAGUGAAUUUGCUCGAGAAGCAGAACUCGAUACCACAAUGCAAAAGUGCAAGUUGAAGUAGCUACUAAAUAGAGAAAAUAACAUAUUUAUAAUUACAACUCGACAAGAGAUAGUACCUGCAAGCCAAAAUAGUUGAUAAAUCCAUCUUUCCCCAAGGACUCUGCAGAUUUUUUUAUAGUUUCUUCAGAAUCAGCAACCACUCCUCUGAAAAAAAAAGAAAAUUUGUACUAUAAAGAUAUUCCAUGCACAAGAUCUUUUCAUCACUUCUCACCGAAAUAAAAUAAAAUGUUCUUGAAUAAGAAGAUAUGGGAAUUAAUAGACGAUCAUAGAAUUUCUUUUUACAAUGUCCAGUUACAUUCUCACCUUAACGUGAUGGUAAAUCUGUUUCCCAUGAGCUGUCCAAGGAGAAGGCCCUCUUUGACAUGGCUGAAAAGUAAUCAUUAACAUUAUGAGCACAAAAUAUAAGGUCAAAAUGACAACAUUUAAGAAAUUGUUGGCUAACCAGAAGUCGCCAACUUUGAUCCCAAACAAUCUCUUGUUCAGCGCAGCCAAUUUACUAGCUUGUUGUUUGAACACAGUUACCUAAAUGGCCAAGUAUUCUCUUAUUAAGCAUUGUAAAUAUUAAACUCAUCUUACCAAGAAAACAGAUAGAGAUAACUUACACACUGAGUUGAAACAGAGCGCUUAUCUUUUGUUCCAGAGAAUCCAAAGGAUUUUGGCUGUAAAAUUCAAAACCAAUCCAAAACACAGCUUAUCAAGGGAAGUACAAUGGCUUGAGAUAAAACAGACCUUUUAUAAACGGAAGAAGAUGGGAAACACCUGAACGCCUAGCAUCUUUCCAAUCAAUCCUAAAGCCUCUUGUGUAUCUUUGUUCUCCUUGUAAAGAUGGAACCUAUAAACUUAAACCAAUGAUAAAUCAAGGGAUACAUGUGUAGCAGUUUCAAACCUAAUGAUCAAAUGAAGGCAUUGCAGAGACUAGGAUGCAUAAAGUACAGUCUUUCGUGACUGUAUCAGUAACUCCAAGACGCUGAUCCACAUCUCUCAAGUAGGAAAUCCGUUUCAGGUUAAACAUUUUGAAUAUUAUACUACUAUACCAGUCCAAUACAUAAUAUAUCAUAUGUUAAAUAUAAGUUGAUUAAUAAUUGUUACCUGAGAAAUUUGCCAACAUGCUCUGGCCAAUGCUCUGAACCUCUGCUAUCAAAAGGUUUAUCGCCUCUUUCCUUCCGUUUCUUUGAUCUAUUACCUCUGUUGUUAUGGGCUCCUGAAUUCACUCGCACACGGAUGCAUUUUGAAGUAGAAUCGGGACCAUCAACAGUGUCAGUCACAAGGAACUUGAAAUUCUCUUUAACAAAGUUGUGGAUAGCCUGGUUAGUAGUGUAAGAGAAAUAGAAUAUAGUAAGAAUUCAGAAGAUAAGGUUGAUAACAGGAUAUGUAACUCAGUAACUAAACCCUAUACCGUUCUCUUGGAUUUGUCAGAACUUGGAUCAAGAAAAACUGGUGAGAUUUCAUCAUCAGUUCCUGAGGUUACUUGAUUGAUCAAUGUUUCCAAACGCUCUGCAUCAGUGGCAUUGGAAAUUGAUUUGAAUGACUCAAUUGCAGAAGUAUAAUUUUGGGGUACAUUAUCAGAACUUUUGGUUUUAUCUUCCUCCUUCACAUCCUGAAAAACAAACAACAACGAAAUUGGUACAAAACAAACUAAAAGAUAAAAAUCGAAACAAAACAUAGCUUUAUCUAAAAGGUGAACUGAAAUGAGGCCAGAGACAAACCAUCUCAGGAGGCAAGUCCAAGGAUGUCAAAUGAACCACAUUGCCAUUGAUAUCCACUUCAUUAACAAUAAAGUCUGCGUAUCUACGAAACACAAAUACCAAAAAAAAAAAAAAUUCAAUUUUAAUCCAAUUCAUCUAUGAACUUCACCUAUACAAAAUAAGGGAAACAAUAGGUGCAUGCAUCAUUUCAAAACACAACAUAUCACAAAUACACCAAAGAGUUUCAUUUAUCAAAAAAGGUGUUUCUUUUGGAUCCGUUUGUUAACGGUGAAGUAAAUAAAGUACCAACCACAUCAAGAAUCACAUAGUUCACAGAAAUUAUAGAAUCACUAAGCUCUAAUCAACAUAUUUGAGAAGCUUUCAAAAAUUUAAUCUCAUUCUCUAGCUAUAUGGAACAAAAAAUGUUUGUCUAUAAGAACAACCAUGAUGAUAUCACGACCUUUGUUUGAGGAUCCCGCGGAAGCCAGGGAGCUGGGAGAUGAAACAGGAGAUGCCCACGUCAGCUUCAUCUACUGUUUUCAUACCUUCAAUGGUUUUAUCUGUCGUCGCCAUUGUCGUUGUCCAGUGAAAGCUCGAGUAGGGUUUAAGCAGAGACGGCAAACGCAAACAAGACAAGACAGUUCUAUUUAGUUUCAUUGGCCUAGUAGUUCCCCGCAAGGGCCAAGAAGACAAUUGAAAUCGAAUGCUGUCUAAACGCACCGUUUCGUUCUCCAUUGACUUACGCCGGUUAUUGAGCUUUUGAUCCCUCCGAACCGAUAGAUGUUCAAAACCAGAUCAGUACCGAUGAAUCAAAUUACUCGGAUUCGAAUAUGCUCUAAACCAGAUCGAUACGGAUACUAAACCGAACCGGUUCAUGUCAAUGUCUUCUUUGUAGAAAAAGCGACUUUCCUGAUCAAGCUUCCCACUUAACACAACAGAUCCACAAAUUUCAUAGGUAGAGCGAAUCGGAGAGAAAGAGAGAUGGUGACGAAAACGGAGGAGACAGAGUUAAAGCAACUCGAGAAUCAAGUUGAGAAUGGAGGUGGAGGUGUUUGGGAGUAUCUGUCCCUCGUUCGUAAGCUCAAGGUUCGCCGAUCAGAGAUUGUGCUCAAACAUGGUCUCUCGAUCUUGAACGAUCCGGGAAAGCGAUCUGCUCUUGGUCCAGAUGGUCUGUUUUAUUUUGAAUUCCUCGGUUAUGCUACUUUGUUUAUGUGUGUUUUCUCAUUGAGGUUAGAGUGUGUUUGUUGAUUUCCUGAAUCGUUCUCCACCCAAUUGCUGCUAAUCAUGAGUUUCAGCUAAACGAAAUUAGUUCAAAUUCAGUUUGAUAUUCUUUCCUUAGUUGGUUUUAAUGGUUCUGCCUCCGUUUCCUACUGCUACUUCAAUUAAUUUUUAUCUGCUCAAUGCUAAUUCUGGUGUCCGUAGAUUGAUAUGUUCGCUGUUUCAUCCUUACUUGUGAGAUUAAAAUUUCUGUUUAGCUGAUACAAGUUCAUAACUUAGCAAAAGAGUUUAUUUCAGAAAAACCCAUUAAGAUGAAUCUCUGCCAAUCUGGUCCGAUUUGUUUGUGUUAUCAAAGCUAAUAGGUGUUUUACUUUACACUAAUUUUAGGGAAACUACUUUGUUUGUUUUAUAAAACUAAAGGGCAAAGUGUCUUCCUUUACUUAUGCAGAAUGGACUCUGUAUGAGCAGGUAGCUAUUGCAGCUAUGGACUGUCAAUCUCUUAAUGUUGCACAGGUGAAUUUCCUUUUUGCUUUCCAUUGGUACCUUUGUUCCUAUUUUAAGUUCAGGCUUUGUUGACAAACUUGCAUCGGUAAGUCUGUAUGUGUAUGCUAUUUCUUAAGUUUAAACCUCUUUUUUAUAAUUUCUUGUAAAUAUCAUGAUCGCCUUGUGAUGUGAGUUUUCUGAAAAUGAAGGAUUGAAAUUUGGGUUUGCUUUUGCUUUCCGAAUAAUUACUCUUUAUCCGCUUUUUUCAAGACUGCCCAAGAAAAUUUAGAUUUCUCACGAGAAGUCAAAAUUUUUUUUUUUUUUUUUUGCAGAAUUGCAUCAAGGUUCUGAAGAAGAAAUUUCCAGAGAGCAAACGUGUUGGUAAGUCAAUAUUUAAUUAUCAACCCUUGACAAACUGAGCAAGUCUUCAAUCUUGUUGGACUUCACAAUUCGCUGGCAUCCCAAUCUUGAUAUUAUAUAUCAGGCAAACUGGAGGCAUUGCUGCUAGAAGCAAAGGGAAUGUGGGAAGAGGCUGAGAAAGCGUAUACAAGCCUUUUGGAGGAUAAUCCACUUGAUCAAGUAAGCUUUAUUUUUUUUGCUUUCAUGGAACUACCCACAAGCUACAUCCAAAUGUUAAGUGUUGUAAGUAAAAAACGAUGUCUAGGUAAUACACAAAAGAAAGGUGGCUAUGGCCAAGGCACAGGGCAAACCUUCCCUAGCCAUUGAGCAUCUAAACAAAUAUCUUGAAGUGUGAGUACUUACUAACCCCAAGCUGUUCAAAUAUAAGUACUGUAUAUUAGAAAAACAUAGCAUAGCUGAUCACCUGUAUCUGCUCUUCUUUCUUUUUGUAGAUUCAUGGCUGAUCAUGAUGCCUGGAGAGAACUUGCAGAAAUUUAUGUUUCCUUGCAAAUGUGUGCUUCUCUAUCCUCUCUGUCCUCGACAUUUUUUGACUAAUAAUUCACCAUGCAACAAUUAACAGUAGUUUUCCAUUUUAUUGCGAAUUUAUGAUCUAUAACAGGUACAAACAAGCAGCUUUCUGCUACGAGGAGCUCAUACUAACCCAACCUACUCUUCCACUGUACCACCUAGCAUAUGCAGAUGUAAGACAAUCUUUUAUUCCUUUAUUAAAAGAAGUAAAAUUGUGUUUAUACUUUUAUGGCUAUCACCAAAGAGCCUCAAAAUGUCAUAUAUGACUUGGUCUGUCUAAGACACUGUAUUUAGUAUGCAUCUUAUAAUCAAUUUGUUGUCGCUUAUAUCUUAUACUGGAAGUUAGUAAGCAAUAGAAAAGCCAACUAUUUUGUAGAAAUCUGAGCGUUAUUAGCACUUCAAUCCAAAAGUUUCUAGGUUUUUGUUUUUGCAAAUCUCUAAAUCACAGUUUUGAUCAUGUAUGAACUUGUUUUACUAACGUAAUUCUCAUUUUGCGUGCAAUCCCUGAAAUCAGGUUCUCUACACAAUUGGUGGACUAGAAAACCUCAUCGCAGCAAGAAAGUACUAUGCAGCAACCAUAGACUUGACAGGUGGUAAAAGCACAAGAGCCCUACUCGGAAUAUGCUUGGUAAGACCCUCUUUCUUCCGGAUACCGGUUUAAUCCACUUUGGUUGUUUGCAAAUGACCUAAUGGCCGGUACAUAAAUUGUCUGAAAUCAGUGUGGAUCAGCGAUUGCACAGCUCUCAAAAGGCAGGAACAAAGAGGACAAGGACAUGGCUGCACCAGAGCUCCAGUCUCUAGCUGCAACUGCAUUGGAGAGAGAGUACAAGCAAAAAGCUCCGGCUAAGCUCAACCUGCUUUCUUCUGCCUUGAGAAGCUUGAAAAUCUCGAGUUGAAACCACAAGAGUUGAAACAAAUUUUUGGUGUUUUGGUUUUAAAGUUUGGCAGACAUCUACUCGUUUUCGUUUCCCCUUAUAGUUUCUUAUUCAUAUCUCUUGGUUAUACUGAAUUACUGAUGCCGUUUACUUGAGAGUUUGAUCAAUAGACAAUAGCCAAUAAUAAAAUAACCAAAACUCUCAAUCGGAACGAGACAAGAGAAAAACUUGGCAAAUAAUUUUGUGAGAUUUUAGUAAUCACUCAAAUUUAAAUAAAUAACUACAGUUUUUUUAAUCACUAAUUCAUAGUAUAGUACAAAAUUUCACGUAUCCUAGUUUUCUUCUUACAGAGAGUUAUUUUUGUUUUAUCCAAGGUUUUGCAAUCGCAUAGAGGAAACAAAUAUAUUGGACAUCCGAGUGGGCCAUUAUAUGUAAGGCUUAGCCCACUAAUGGGUCGAACUAAGGCCCAGUAUAUUGUUAGUCUUAUGAGUGUCAUCAAACUCAAACCCUAGAAGGUGACUUUAAAUUGAAGAAGCGCCGUAGAAGCAUUUUUAGGUUUUAUCGUGUUUUGAUUCUUCUCUGUUCGUCGUCGACCUAUCUUCCCCAGCCAUGGCCGUCGGGUAUGUUUUCUUUAGAUAUUCCUCGUUUCUACUAUCUGAUCUGUAAUCUCAUAAGUAUUCAUCACCUAACUGUGAGUGUUCCUCUACUUGCGUUGUAGGAAAAACAAGAGAAUCUCUAAGGGUAGGAAGGGAGGAAAGAAGAAGGCGUAAGCACUCUUUAUCUUUAUCGUAGUUUGUCUUCUCUACUAAUGUGUAUGUAUUAGUAGACUCUCUAUGCUGUAGUAUGAGAAGCUGAAUCUGUCAUUUUUGAAUGAAUUAAUUGAUGCAGUGUUGAUCCUUUCUCCAAGAAGGAUUGGUAUGAUGUUAAGGCUCCUUCAAUCUUCACCCACAAGAAUGUUGGAAAGACACUUGUUUCCAGAACCCAGGGUACCAAGGUAAUGUUUCUGUCUCUCUUUCACAAUCUCAACGAAUUGAGUUUGCUGCUUAGACUCGUCUUAGAAUCAGUUGGUUUUGUUGGAACUGAUUUGAAUCACCUAGGCCAAUUCUUUAUGAUUCUUUGGAUUGAUUGUUACAGUUGAAUGUCUUACGUUGCCAUGUUUUGCAGUAGAUGUCAGAAAGAUUAGAUGUUUGUAUUGUAUGGUAUGUGCCUACUUUGAGACUGAUGGUCUUUGUAUCUGUCUAACCUCGUUUUGUGUCUUUUUAACCCCACCCAGAUUGCCUCUGAAGGCUUGAAGCACAGAGUUUUUGAGGUUUCUCUAGCUGAUCUUCAAGGUGAUGAAGACAAUGCUUACAGGAAGAUUCGUCUCAGAGCUGAAGAUGUCCAAGGCAGGAACGUUUUGUGCCAAUUCUGGGUAAGGACACUUUAUGAAACAUUGAUUCCCGACCUUGGCUAUUGUUUUUCUUCUGGUUUAUUUUCCCCCAAAUUGAUGGGAUCUUGACAGUUUUAUAUGUUUUCAUAUAUAGGGCAUGGACUUCACCACUGACAAACUUAGGUCGUUAGUUAAGAAGUGGCAGACUUUGAUUGAGGCUCAUGUUGAUGUUAAAACCACCGAUAGCUACACUCUCAGGCUAUUCUGCAUUGCCUUUACCAAGAGACGUGCUAACCAGGUCAAGAGGACUUGCUACGCUCAGUCCAGCCAAGUUCGUCAGGUAUUCAUCCAGAUAUUAUCUAAAUAAAUCUAUUACUCUUUGGAAUCUUACAUGUUGUCAAGUCUCUUUGCUGAGUCUUAUUCCUUCAAUCUUUGAUCUUUAUUUCUGUUGAACUUACAUUGGUCCAUUUGUUGAUGAGCCUUUGUCUCCUUCAUUUGAUUUCCCCUAACAAUAGGUGAAAACCUCUUUGAUAUUAAUUCACCUGUCUUUUUGUGCAACCUUCAGAUUCGUAGGAAAAUGAGGGAUAUUAUGGUUAAGGAAGCUUCCUCAUGUGACCUUAAGGAGCUUGUUGCCAAGUUCAUUCCCGAAGCUAUUGGGAAGGAGAUUGAGAAGGCAACUCAGAACAUCUACCCUCUUCAGAACGUUUUCAUCCGUAAAGUCAAGAUCCUGAAGGCACCCAAAUUCGACCUUGGCAAGCUCAUGGAUGUGAGUGAAGAAGAUGAACACUAAUAUUUGCUAUGAUUCAUUACCCAGGAUAUAUAUAAAUUGAAUGCCUGUGUUUUAAUCUGUGUAGGUUCACGGAGAUUACACAGCAGAAGAUGUUGGUGUUAAGGUAGACAGGCCAGCCGAGGAGACCGUUGAGGAACCUACUGAAAUCAUCGGAGCUUAAGAAAUGGUUUUUUGUUAAAAUUGAGAGAUCUCUUUUUCUUCUAAAACUUUUAGCUUUUUAAUGCUUUGUGUCGUUUCUCACUCUUUUUGUUCCCUCAGUUUUUCUUUUUGCUGUAUUGAUGACUUUUCUCAGUGUAAACUUGCGAGUUUUUGAUAAUUUAUGAAACACCUUCUCUGAUGUUAUAACUGAAUUUAUGAAAAAAAUUAUACCAUGAUGAGCGUCUCUAAUAUUUUCGAAAUUGAUCUUUUGUUAAUUUUGUUUUGUUGCUUUAUGCGCAUUUUUGUUCAGACCAAUUUUUGAUUAAAAUUUGUUGGGAUCGUAUAUAACUUAUUUACAAGUCGCAGUGGUAGACUUUUUAAUAAUAUAGUUCCAAUACAGUUUUUUUUUUUUUUUUGUGAACAAAGAUUCAAUACAAUUUAGAUUUUAGCUUUCAUACAAAAAAAAGUAUCUUUGUACGUUAAUCAGAAAUUCAGAAUGUAUGGAUUUUUUGUUUUAAUUACAACAGUAUAUUACAUUUACACGAUAUUGUUGAUAAUAUUUAAUUCCGUACUAAAUGCUAACAUAUAUCGAGUCACUACAAAGUACAAACCUUUCUUCAGUGAAAAACAAAGACUACAUAAUUAUAGAAGAGCAGAACAAUACAAACACACAUUCACAUCCUAAGCAAAAAUCUUCCAUACAUAUAUUAUCUUAAAAUAUAUACCUACCAAACUUGGAAGUAACAGAUGGAAGUGAGAUCAAACAAAACCCAUGCGAGCAACAGCAGAAGACGUAGAGCUUUUCACAGUGAUUUUAAUUGAUUGAUUCGUGGCCGAUAGACAACACGAGUCUCCUAGUUCUUCACAUGCUGUAUCUGAGAAAUCAGUAUCAGAGUUCAGACAGUUUUCGCAGUGAUGCUAAGGAACGAAAUGCUACAGGACUUUGGAGCAACACACAGUUCCUUCUCUCACUCUUUGAGGCAUCUUCAUUUUGGCUGAGAAUGAGAAUCCGGGACUGUCAAUGAUUAGAGAUCAGUAUAUUCACAGUCAAUGUAGAGAACUAAUGAUACCUUGAAGCAUCGGCAUGAUCAUCAUUAUCUUUAGCUUCAUCAUUGAUUGUAACCGCAUCAGAUUCUCCCUCACAUUUCUCUGAGAAGAAUGUAAAAAUCAAAAAUAAAUUUAUACUCAAAUGAAAGAAAGGGUAUUAGAUAAUUGAAAGCUUACCAUUUUUGUGAAUAAAAUUAUUCUUGCAUCCCAUGCAUCUGCAGUUCGAGGAGCAUCCAACGCCCAUCUUGAUAAAGUCAUUACAACAUCCAUGGUUCAGAAGGAUGACAUUAUUGAAGAUUUAAGUGUGAACAACCAAGCUGGACAAGUGAAACCAAAGUUACCAUAUAGCAUUCACAAUAUUUCUUUAGGCAGCCUGAUUUCCUGCAAUUGCAUCCUCUUGUAUGUCUUGCUGAGGCAGGGGUCUUGCUGUUUUCGUCCUACAGAUUUAUUAUAAACAUGAGAUACAAAAAAAAAAAAAAAAAAAAAUCUCAUCACUAACUAGUUGCAUCCAUACUUUAAUCAGCAUAUCAAGCAAUGCAGUAGAGUCUAAGUUUCUCCUUUAUUAUGUAUUUGAGCUCACAGUUAAUCUCAUGGUAUAUCUUACCCAUAAAUCUAUAGCAGAAUCAGAGGUCGAGACCACUUUUGGAGCGAAAGCUAAUGGAUUGCGAGCUUCAAUCACUUCACGAGCUUUUAUAACUAGGUCUUCAUGAAUGGGCUUAUUGAAACAAUUUUGACAUGAACAAGGUUCAACACAGUAUAGACCAGCAGCAAAACAAUCGCAAUACCUGUACAGCAUAUGAAAAUGUAAUUAACAAUGAGUUGAUGUCUAUGUCUGCACAACCUGAAACUUACUCUAUUUAGCAACUUAAGCUAGGUUUCAGAAAAAGGCCUGAGCUUUUUUAACAAAAAAAAGGUAUGAACUUUUGGCAAAAAAGUGUUCUGGAACACAAAACUGACAAUGCUGCACUUUCAGCUAGACAGAACAACAUCUGGAACAGACUUCAUACAUUAUCUUAUUCGCUUGAAAUAGAGUAUCCAGUGAAACCGACUCUCAAUAGCUUUCAGGAAAGUAGGAAUACAAACCUAAUCGGCUAAUCAUAUCAGUUAAAAACAAACGUUUUUGGCAUCUGAAAAUUGUGCCUAUGGAAUGGUCGUAAGGAAAGCACUUACAGCUUCAAGCAUUUGGAUUUCCUACAUUUACAGCGCUUACAGCUACCAAGUUCGUCAAGUCCUUGAGACAAUUUCCUGUAUUAAUCAAUAUUCCAGUAUAAAGUUUGGUAUUCAUAGGCUCAUAGAUUUGUACCUGAUGGCUGGAAUAUGAUAAGGAACAUCAGAAUAUUUUCUCACCUAUUUUUUGUUGCCAUGUGUUGGUCAAAAGAUUCUCCUUCCAUUGAUCUCUCAGGAGCCUCCAUGAUUUUGACAUCACUGUAACCUAAAUCUCUUUUUGUGGAGACAGGAGUUGAGAAUUCAUCUUUAAUAUUAUGAUGAAAUGUUGUAGGAACUGGAGGAAAAUACCGAUCAUCAUUGAUUUUUUUUUUUUUGCGGUCACUAGAGACUGAGGGGUUCACAAAAGAAUUCAAGUGCAGGCCAAUAGUUCGUGGUAUGGGUAUAAUCUCAUCAGCAUCUUGUUUGCUGGUUUCUAAACACUCUUGUGGACUAGGAGCUUUGCUGAUAGAGACAGAAUGAAGCGGAAGAUCGUUCGUAGAAUCACGCAAAGGUAUCUUUUUGUGAGAGCCUCCCACGUCAAAAGUCAAGCAGCGCCUGCGAACACUUUGUUGCUGCAAGAGUCAAUUUAAAGUUAGUAGCAAGUUCUUUUAAAGUUUGAAUCAAUUCAUAAGCUAGCAGAUGAAGGAUAAUUCUACUUGCAAUUAGGAACCAAAUGAUAUAUCUGGCAAAUAACCAUCUGAAAUCUAAGUCUCCGAAAAAACAUCAUGAGUUCUGGAAAACUAUCAGAAAGGUAAAGAUGAAAGAAAUGUCGCUGUUGAAGUUGAUGGAAAUAUCAAAAUUUGUACAACUAAAAUAAAAUGUCAACUUAAACACAUGACCAAAGCCCACAGCUGAACAGAUGAAUCAACGAAUCAGCAAAUCAGCAGAGUAUACACAUGGACAAUAAGUAAUCAUGAGGUCUGAGAAAAUUUUUACCAUUACAUAAAGUCAAUGAAAAACCAAUGUACUGAGAUAUUACCUUGCGACUGGGCUGUAGGCCUGUAUCUUCCUUGCAUUCAGCUUCGGCAAUUGAAGAAAUAGCUGCUACCUUGGAGGAACUGCUGAGAGUAAUUUCUGGAGCUCCAGGUGAAAUUUGUACACUGCAAGAACCUCUAGGCUCAACUACAUUCACUGAGUUAUUACAACAGAUAGAAAACUGCAGAGGCUCAGAAGCAAAAGAAUUGAAUUUAGGAUCUGUGAUCUUUGGAAUCUGUUGCUCACUGUUCUGGAUACCAGCAACCUCAAGCAUGGCAUUUUCUGCCCCAAACACACUCACAGUUCCCAUUUCUUCAGUUUGAAGUACCCCAUCUGGACCAGCAUCAAAGUCAAAUGAAUCAUUAGGCUGUCUACAUAACUCAUCAGACAGCUCUCUCAAUCCACCACUUCUUCCUAUUUCAUUUUCAGCAUCCAUUGGUUCUUCAUCACAAGAAACCAUUUGACUAUCACAUCCCUCCCUUCCAUUUUUAAGUGAAUCUGCCAACUCAAUUGCUAAGCUUAACUGCUCCUUAAAUGGCUUGGUUUCAGAAACAUUAGCCAACUGCUCAGGUCUACACUUUAGCUGCUCCUCACUCAGACCAGUUAUCUUUACAGCUUCCAGAGCGUCUGGUGAGUUUUUGAUAGUCUCACCAAUAAGAACUACUGGGCUAGAUAAAUCUAGUGUACGAUGCCUAAAGAAGCAACAUAGCCAUCCAACAAAAAUAACAAAUGUCAGCAUAUAAACACGAACAACAAAUCUUUCUCCUAUGGAUCAAGUUACCUUUUGAUGGAAAAUCUGGAAUCUCGGUAAGAGUUUAACUGCGGCGAACUAAAUAGAGAUGACGGAGAUGUAAAAGCCAAUGAGUGCAAGAUAUUCUCUGAGCGUGGUGGCUUUACUGGCUCUAUGGGUGAAAGAUCAUUAAUAUAUUGAAAAACUGGAGAAUCCUGCAGAUGAAGGAGAUUCAAGUGAGAACCUAACUCAUUGCAACUCGAUUCAACAACAAAGAAAUGCGAACAUAUUAGCCAAAAACUCUAAUCGACUCAAAUUGCUGAAAAAAAACAAGGAAACGAAGACGAUCACUAAACCCCAAAACCUAAUUUAAACCCAAAAAAUCAUAGACCGCACAGUAAUUAGAUUCGAUGAAGACGAAGCAAAUUUAGGAAACAUUUUAGAUGUAAAUUAAUUUCAAUUGAAGUCGGAAACCUUCAUAAACGCAGAGGAGAGAAGAAACAAAAAAAAAACGAAAGUAGGAGCAGAAUAUCAUGGUUAGAAAGUAGGACUGAGAGAAGACCUCAAAGUUGCGGAAGGAAACGGCGGAGAUGCGGUUCUUCUCAGGAGUGUCCAUCUCCGGCGAGGUUUAUUAUCACUGGGGUCGUACUUCAGAUUCGCCUCUACGCAAAGCAACGAAGCCCUAAAAGAUAUAAAUAGAGAAGAGAGCGGAUCGGUUAAGUGAAGAAGACGAAGAAGGAGAAGAAGGUGGAGAUUUCAAUGGAGGAGGAGCGGGAAAGCGGAAAACAGUAAUGUGAAAAGCCGUCUGCUUUGGUUUCUCCCUGAUUAACCAAAUUAAAAAACAAAAAAAUGUAAAACGUAAAAUUAGACUUUAAAGGGCCCAUUGGGUUUAAAUUUAAGACUUUAAAGGCCUGAUAAGAAACGCAAUAUGCUUCUUUUAUUGGGCCAAUUUAAUUUUAAAAAGGAACAAGUAAAUAAAAUUGGUCCGAACCGGUUUGCUGGAGAAGUAGGGUCGAGAUGGCAUGGUCUAGGAGACUGAUGCUGCUGUAUUGUCAUUGCCUCAUUGGCAUUAUUAUUACAGAAACAGACAGAAAGGCAAACAUGUGAUGAUUCCACAUAGACCCAAAAGAAAUUUUGUUGUAGCCAUAGGAAGCAUUACAAAGGACCCAUCUAUAUGUAUGUCUUCCCCCUUUCCCAUUAACCUUUUCAAGAUUCCCUCAUACAAAAAGAGCUUAAAUAAAUAUUAUAAAACGAGAGAUCAAACAGACGGCAAGCUGUUUCAGAGAUUCUUCAUUAAACUGUAUACAGUUUUGUGUUCAGGUCCCCCCAACCACCCAUUGAGAUAUCCAAAUCUAAAAGUUUGAAUUGACGUAUAAAGUAACUUGGCUUGCUCUAAAAGAUUUUUCUCUGACUUGACAAUCCAAGAGGACUUUGAUGUUCUUUCAAGCAAGAGUGCUCAGUCGUACACUUUUUUUGAAUCAUUAGAGACUUUGCAAACCCUCUCAUGGUCACGGGCUGAUGUUACAAGAACAUCUUCAAGGAGAAGUUUUCUAAUACAUUAUUGGACAGAAGACUCCAGACAUUUUAUUCAGACAGUUUUUCUUAUGAACAGGAACAACUAUGAUUACUUUUGUUUGAACCAAGUGGAAAACUCUACCAACACCAAUAAAAAUACAAGAUAAUGCCCUUAUAAACUGAAAACUUCAGCUGUCCUGGAUGGCUAAACGAUAGACCAAAACAAGCAAAUAACUAUGAUGUGAAAACUUUAAGAACCAUGACUCACUUAUUUACAAUUCAAGAAUCUUCAAGUACAAACCCAUUUCUAUCUAGAAUUCUUGAUUAAACACUCUUUGUACCUGCAAACAGCUGGAUGAUAACAAAAGUGCCAUAUAAAAUGUCUGAGAAGGUAUGGGGAGAAAAAAAACCCAAAGACAUGGAAUAUUUCCAAGGAAGAUACACAUGCUUAUUAAAAUGUUGUAGCAUGAAUGAUCUAUGAUGCUAGAAUGAUGCAAAGUACAUGUUGCUAGCCAUCUUAAGUGUUACUAACUACUAACUUCAGCUCAGGGCAUAAUGAUCUGUUUUGUCCACAAACGAGCAGCGGGAAAUCAUAAAAGAAGAAAGACCAUAAGCCAAGGAAAGCCGUAAUGUAGUUAGCAGUAUCCAUGCUAGUGAGUAAACAAUGAAACAUUCUGCACCUGGAAAAGAAAACAGAGUAUCUAGACAGUUGAUUUCUUGAUACAGGUAACAAAGCAAUCGGCUUUGAACAAGAGUCUUUACAGGUAUCACGUAGUAACUUUGACAUACGAAACUGAUAUCUACGAAGAAUAAGAGUUCUUCUUGACUGAUCCGGUUUCCAACAUUUUACGGGAAUAUAUAAUUGAAACCCAUUGAUCCAUCAUAUGAUAAAACAAAUUGGCAAGAAUCACAGUUCCAUUUUAACCUUUAGUUAGCAAUGGAGUAAAAGAAAAGAACUCUCAAAACUCUUCUCCUCUACUCGUUCUUCCAAGCGUACAGGAUCAAUGAAAAGCCAAAACUUUGAGAUUUCGAGCUCGCAGGGACCUGUGUGAAAGACCAGGUCUUUUCAACUGAUUGAGUAGUCCUGAACAUAAAUACGGCAUUUCCUGCUGUUGAUGGCAACCCAAAGAACCAACUGUGGACAUCCCAGAGAACUUCAACGGAGAGCCUAUUGACGAUAAUAGUAUCGUUGCCACGGAACUUCCAGUGAAGCCGAUUCACCUGCAUCAAGGUCUUCCCAUCGACACGGAGAAUGAGGCAAGGAUCACUCAGAGUGGUGUCACAUUCGAUGACAAGAUCAUGUGUUUUGCCAUCAUCCGAAAACUGAGCUUUAGUUGCAAAGGAUCUCUUGCCAAAGACAUGCUCUUUCUUAGCAAUAAAGACAGCACCUAAUGAUGAUGAAGAAGGUGCAGCACUCGUCUUCUUGAAAGCUUCUUUCCUCAUAUCACCAAGAAGAAGAGCCAUUUCUUUGUCCACAACAACGCCAACAUAGAAGCCACCUAGAGGUUCAGGGCUGGAUCCGAAUUUAGCGGAGGAGAGAUCCCAGAAGACAUCAAUGUUACAGGAAUAGGCCUCAAGAUUCUUAGAACCUUUUCGUUUGGUAAAGAGCCAGGGCUUAAUCUCGACUUUACACAGACUUCGGUUGCAAGAAUCAUCAACUCCGACGGUAACACACUGACCCAUAAGAUUCUUAGUCCAGGAGACAGUGAUCAAGCAAGUCCUACCUCGGAUGCGGCAACGGUAGAUACAAAUGACCAAGUUCUGAGCAUUUCUCCCGGCGCUCAAAGACGAAGAAUCCGCAAUCUGAACGCCAUUUUCACCAGAGCAAGAUGGAAAAUCUCUCAUCUUUCUUUACAGAAUUCACCAAUUUUCCAGCCUCUGUCUCUCUCUACGGAAUUUCAACAAACACCUUGUGUCCUAAACUACGGAACGCUGACCAAAUCAAAGUCGGCAAAUUUAACUUCAGAUUAGUAGCGAAAUUUUCAUCUAAGACAAAAAAAAAAGAAAGAAGUGUUAUAGAAUAGACCUGAAAGUGAAGAGUUUCAUGAUAAAAGAAAGAGAAACCCCAAUCUCAAAACAAAAAAGCAUUGAAAUUAGGAAAAUGUCAACAAGAUUUGAUCUGGGUUUUACCAAAUCGAUCCAGUUUCCAUCAAACCCAAGGAGAGAAUGAAGUUAGAGAAGAAGAAAGAAAGCCUGAGACUCCGGGAGGGAGAGAGAGAAACUAAAAUGAAGGCAAGCCAAAUUCGCCGAAAUAGAGGGGAAUGUGUGUAUGCUUAUUGUAGUCAAAAUAAAGACAGAUACAGACAAAACAGGAUACUUUGUUCGUUUUCACUGUCUUUAGUCAUUUUUCUUCUUCUUUCAAAACGUUAAAAUAGUUACCCGAUUUUUUUUUUAUUUUUUUUUUUGUGUGUGUAUGUGACAAAUUAGUACCAAAUACGAAUUUUAAUUCCAAUGAAAACGACUGUGAGAAUAAUAAAUUUCAGACAACAAAAACUUACCUAUCCAUUUUUUAUAUACACUUAUCUCAAAUGUUAAUUAAAAGGGUCAACAACCUUGGUUUCGAAUUCAUGUUACUGUGGACACGAAAAUACCUUGAGAAGUUAUAACUAAAAAAGAAAAAGUGUUAUAGUUUUGUCUCACUAAUCUUACUUGUUACGAAAAAUUAAAUUUGGGGUAUGUGCAAGCCUGGAAGAAAUGGUAAACACGUGUGGGUAUACCAUGAGAAGCAGGCAUGCAAUUAAUAUGGCCACAACUGAGAGAGCCCAUACUGUCGCUGUUAUUCUACCCUCCUCGACUGGGCUUUCUUCUUUUCAUUUUGAAGUUGGGUGGUUCAGACACAGAGAUUAGAGAUUCAUAUGAAUUAAUAUUUUAGUACGAUAAUGACAAUAAUCAAUCAAUCCAUAGUCCUUACGACCUUUUCAUUCGAUUGUCAACCAAAUAGGCUUGGUGAUGCAGCUGAAGCAUAUAUGACUCCUCAAUAUAUCGUAAACUAAUAAAAGCCAUACAUUUACCAAAUUAAAUGGGCUUCUUUUUUUUUAUCCAUUUGUUUCUAACUAUCAACUUUUUUUAAUCGACUUGGUAAAAUGACUAUUACCAAAUUGAUUAUUAUUUAUUUAUUUCAUGAUCUGUGAUAUUAGUAUUGUUCAUUUUGUUUUUAGUUUUGUGUGGCAAUGCUUCUGCAAAAAGUCUUCAAGUGAUAAUGCAUUAUCAAAUAUGGUUUUCCAUUACGCUUCAAAUCUUUUUUUAGAUUUGGACCAGCCUGUAUUAAUCUUAGGUCCCAGUUUAACAUUAUUAGUUUUUCUUGCCGUCUGUUGUUUUAUUUUAUUUCAUUGUAGUUUCAUUUUCGUUAUUAAUAUUAUCGAUCGUCGACGUUAUUUGUUUUUAUUUUGGUUUUGAAAUUUAAUAAUCCGUCUCCUUACCUACUUUCAGUUUGUUUCUUCUUUUGACAUAAGUCAAUAACCUUACUCGGUUUAAAAUGGGGAUUCCUUGGUGCCGUUCGCUUGACUUGAGGUCAGUCCUUUCAACUAAAAAAAAAAAAAAAAAAAAAAAAAAAAAAGGAAAAGAAAACAGCAAUAAGAACAUAAAUGGAGUUAAGUAGAGUCUUAGAAAAGAAAACAGCAAUUAGUUUGGUUAUUGUUUUUUUUUUUUCAUGAAAGACAUUCCCUAUUGGGUUUCCGUUCUUGUGAUAGGGUUAUAUUUCAUUCUUUUUUUUAUAAAUAAAACCAAACAUAAAUUAGUGGAUAUGUUGCCAAUAAGAAUUGAGGGAAUAUCAAAGAGAACGCUGACCAAAUAUUUUUGGGCCUCAAUCUUAUUAAAUUGACCAGCCCAUUAUCGACUCUGGUUAUCUAAAUGCACUUCUUCACCUAAUUUUCUUUUAAUAAAUUUAAAAUUUGAUUCGGUGGUCAAAAAAUUAAAAAAAAUUAAAAUUUGAUUAGUUUUAGGAUUAUAUUUUAAUUCGAUACUGAUACGUUUAGAUUAUACAGUACAACAUAAACAAAAAAAGUUAAAUCCCACUGAACACAGUUGUUGUUACACCAGUAACCACAAGAGUUUAUGCGGAGAGAAAGAAAGCAACAUACAUACAUCAUCGCAAACAAAGUUUGUUCAUCUCUCAUUUUAAGUCAUAAGUAGUAGUAUAUUUACUUGUUCGUUCUUCCUCUUUUAUUUAAGGAAAAAAUAAACAAAAAACAAAAAAAAAACUCUCCCUUUUUUUUUCUUUUUGUUCUUGUGAAUAAAUCAUUUGCUCUUAUCUGAGUUGAUUGGCCAUGGCUUCUUCAAUCGUUUUCGCUGCAACUCCGGUUACUGGCUUUCUCUCCGUUCCCCCAUUGAAGUCUCGGAGGUUCCACGUUUGUUCUUCACUCGACACCGAUGUUUCCGACAUGAGUGUUAACGGUAAUCAUCCAAACAAACAACCAAAAUUGAAUCUUUACUGCCUUGAGAAAUUGACAUGUAUUUGGAUUUACGGGCCUAGCUUUAUGCCACGAACCACCCCAAUUUUCAAGAUGUUGAGUUUCAAUUCUCAUCCAAUCUAUUAAAUUUUAUGAGAUUUCUUAGCAUAUAAGAUGAAUUCUGAAUUCUGAACUCUGAAGGCUUAGAUGAUAGGAUCCUGUGGCUUCUCUAUGCUCAAGGCAAAUUAACAGUGUUAGAAAUGGUGAGUUAGGUCAAGACUUUUACAGUCAGUCCAAGAUUCUCUUUUGUUUAUAUAAUCAUUGUAGUUUUAUAUCCAUGGGAGUUACUAGUGGUUGAGUUUAAGUAAUCAAAUGACAUCUGAAAACUCGCUGGAACUCAGGGUUUUCUUUGAGGUUUCAUGUUGUUAGGACAAGUUUCUUCUGAUGAUGAUGUUCUGGAUUAUUGUAAUUCUCUUACCGUUUAAAUGGACUCGAUAUAAAUGCAGCUCCAAAAGGGCUAUUUCCUCCAGAGCCUGUACCGUACAAGGGACCGAAGCUGAAAGUAGCUAUCAUAGGUGCUGGACUUGCAGGCAUGUCAACUGCUGUAGAGCUUUUGGAUCAGGGUCAUGAGGUGUUUACUCCUCUCCUUAGCUGUUUACCUUUGAUUUAAUUACAUAUAAGAGUAAUCUUUGUUAUUGUUUCAGGUGGAUAUAUAUGAUUCUAGGACAUUCAUUGGUGGCAAGGUGGGUUCUUUUGUAGAUAGACGUGGGAACCAUAUCGAAAUGGGACUUCAUGUUUUCUUUGGAUGCUACAACAAUCUCUUCCGCUUGAUGAAAAAGGUUUUGGUUUUCCAAAGCUUCCGCUCGAGUUUUCCUGAUGGUUGAGACUCAUUCUCAUUUAAGGGUUUUUUUUUUGUAAUGUAGGUGGGUGCUGAAAAAAACCUUCUUGUCAAAGACCAUACUCAUACAUUUAUAAACAAAGACGGCACAAUUGGAGGUAUGGUUCAGUUUCUCUUGUUAUGAUUGCCUCUGUGAUUUUAUCGUAGUACUGAGAUGUGCAUAUAUUUGUAGAGCUUGAUUUUCGGUUUCCUGUUGGAGCUCCAAUUCAUGGUAUUCGCGCAUUUUUGGUCACAAAUCAACUCAAGGUAUAACCUUAACUUUUAGAUUGAUUUCUCCAGAGACAUCUGAAUCUAUGGAUUCAUGUCAAUGCACUUUUCCAACAGUUUUCUCGAACUUUAUAGCAAAAGAUUAAGAAUUUCUUACUCUAUUACCAAUAUAAAGCUUAUUAACCGCUUCUUCUUUUGACCGAACAGCCCUAUGAUAAACUAAGGAAUUCACUGGCUCUUGCAUUGAGCCCGGUUGUUAAAGCUCUUGUUGACCCCGACGGAGCAAUGAGAGACAUUCGCAAUCUUGACAGCGUAAAGAAUGAUAGAUAACCUCUUUCUUCUCAUUUCUACCACUAUUUUUGUCCUCUAAAUUUUCUGAGAUACUUUUUGCAGAUAAGUUUCUCGGAUUGGUUCAUGUCAAAAGGUGGGACACGAGCAAGCAUACAGAGAAUGUGGGAUCCUGUUGCUUACGCACUCGGUUUCAUAGACUGCGAUAACAUGAGUGCACGAUGCAUGCUUACCAUAUUUUCAUUAUUCGCUACCAAAACAGAAGCUUCGUUGUUGCGUAUGCUCAAGGGCUCGCCUGAUGUUUACUUGAGUGGUCCUAUUAAACAAUAUAUCACAGAUAGAGGCGGCAGGUGUGUGCCUGUUAUUAUCUACAAUAACUGAUUCUUGCAUUUAUUAUCUCAUUGGCUGAUCAGGUUUUUAUAAUCUUGCCUUCAAACAGAAUCCAUUUGCGGUGGGGUUGCAGGGAGAUACUUUAUGAUAAAUCAGCAGAUGGAGAAACUUAUGUCACUGGACUAGCAAUAUCUAAGGUUACAUUUAGCUCUAGGCAUAGGAUUUUUUUCGGACUGAAAUUUUGAUGCUUUUGGGUAGAGAAAAAGCUUGAAACUUUGAUAUGAAAGUUGAUGACUUUUUAUUGUUUGUUUUUUAGGCUACGAACAAGAAGAUUGUGAAAGCUGACGUGUAUGUUGCUGCAUGUGAUGUGCCGGGAAUCAAAAGGUUACUUCCAAAAGAAUGGAGGGAAACUAGGUUUUUCAACGAUAUAUAUGAACUCGAGGGAGUACCUGUUGUUACUGUACAGCUCAGAUACAAUGGUUGGGUCACAGAGUUACAAGACAUUGAACUUGCCAGGUUUGUUUUCUAGUAUCAUAUGUUGUGAGAAGAUGAUGAUGGAUUGAUUAUGUGUGGGUUUUAAGUCUUCGUUUUGUGUUGCUGAAAAUUACAGGCAGUUGAAACGAGCUGUUGGUAUAGAUAACCUUCUCUACACUCCUGAUGCUGAUUUCUCUUGCUUUGCGGAUCUUGCACUUGCUUCGCCUGCAGAUUAUUAUAUCGAAGGACAAGGCACUUUGCUUCAGUAAGAAAGAAUAACCUUUUUUUGUUUGUCUACAGCAUAGCCUGCAGAUCUCUCAGUGUCUUGAAACUGAACUCUGUUUCACAGGUGCGUUCUUACACCGGGAGAUCCGUACAUGCGAAUGCCGAACGAUAAGAUCAUAGAGAAAGUAGCGAUGCAGGUAAAGAAGAUGGUUAAAUACUCCAAACUCCAGACAUUUUUUGUCAAGUUGGUUUCUUGUAAUUCUCAGAUCUUUGUUCAGGUCACUGAGUUGUUUCCAUCGUCACGGAGCCUAGAAGUAACCUGGUCAUCAGUUGUAAAAAUAGCUCAGUCUCUGUACCGUGAAGCACCCGGAAAAGAUCCAUUCAGACCCGAUCAGAAGACGCCCAUAAAAAAUUUCUUCCUUGCUGGUUCAUACACAAAACAGGUAACUUUUACAUUUAACAAUUAAUUGUUUGUUUGGCAGAUCCACUAUAGUCACAAAUGCAAAGAAAGAUCUGCCUCCAGAGUCUUCUGAGAAAUCCGAAAAAUCAAUUAGAAUUUUGCUGCUGGACUUGUUGCAGGAUUACAUAGAUAGUAUGGAAGGAGCGACAUUAUCAGGAAGACAAGCCUCGUCAUACAUCUGUGACGCCGGUGAAGAACUAGCAGAGCUAAACAAGAAGCUUUCGUCCUCUGCAACUGCAGUUGCUGAUGAGCUAAGUUUUGUCUAAUGAUGGAAAAUGUUGGAAACUAGUUCCCAUGGCUAAUUGAUGAAGAUUUGAGACACUGUGGGUACAUGAAGAAGAAACAUAUGUAGAAGAAACCCUUCUUUAUAUAGUGUUCAUAAGAGAAGCAUGUGUUAUGAAGACACAAUCUUUUGAAAUCAAACAUUCUUACAAAGUACUUCAGAAGAUUUAUCCUCAAAGCUUACAAGUUAAAACAUUCGAAACAAAGAGAAAAGACAAGGUUACACAUUGAAAAAUAAUAGAUUCAAAGAUUCUUACUUAUCGAUUCCCGAAAAGUAUACCAAACAUUGCAGCAUUGGAAAGAAGACAAAGUUUUACGCAUUGAAGAACUCACCUUGAAGCUUCUUCUUCGAUGGUUUUCUUUGCAGUUUCGAGGUCUUCGUCAAGGAAAAUAUCCCAAUGGCCAUCCCAAGUGAUAAAGAACUCAGUGUCUUCGUGAUACUUGACUCGGUGAACGUCACCUGCCGGAGUGAAUAGGUAAUCGCCGUCAACAAGAUCAGCUCUCUCCUUCUUGCUUAGAUUCCACACAGUCUUCUUCCCCUUGAUGACUACAAGGUCAUGGCCGAAUGUGUGGUGAUGCGCUGGUUCUACACUUCCCGCUUUGAACCUUACAAUCGCCGAUGUCGGCGUCUCCCUCACGAUCUUCAUCGAGCCUCCAGGCAUGAUGUCCACUGGAGUGAACUCUCUGUUCUUAGCCAAGCAACAAAUGGCGCAUGACGCGGUUGUUUCAUCAAUCUUUUUGGUAGUUGAAUCGCCGACGGUUGAUAUUCCGAUAUGAGCCAUCUCAGAGAGAGAAUUGUCGAGGAAGGAAGAGAUCUCUGAGCUCCAUGGCUCGGAUCCGGAUGCAGGACAGGGAGACUUGAACGGAGUUUUGAUCCAAGCGUCGAAGAUUUCCACGGCAGUUUUUGUUGAGGUCUUCAUGCCGGAUAAUGCGAGGACGUUGCAAUUGCUGAUCGACCUAGCGUUCACGGCGUCUUCGACUGAGAGACACGUGGCGGCAUAGACUCCCGGGAACUUGUUGGCGAACAUCGCGACUCCGACGCCGGUACCGCAGCAUACCAAGCCGCGAACUUCGGACGAAGAUGAAGCGGACACGCGGCGGCCGACUUCAGAUCCGGCGGAGUAGUACGAAGAAAUGCCGGUAUCCUCCACGUCUAUGCCGAGAGAACGGAGGUGGGAUACCAUCGCGUCCUUGAGGCUCGCUCCAAAGUCGUCAGCUCCGGCGAUGAUUAUCAACGGGAGAACGGUGGUGGAAGUAGUAUCUCCGGCCAUCUUUGCAGAACUUCGAAAUCAUAACCACUCUGAACCAGUGUCUGUUUAGAAGAUUUUCAAGAUUAUCUUAGAACUGGAAAUUCGAAAAAUAUUAAAAGAGAGAGACAUAAGUUGUAUUUGUCUUCUAAUUGCACCCCUAAAGUUAUUUAAAUACAAAAACCCUCCAAUUUCAAAAGCUAUGGGUGAGGUACUUUAAAUUAAUAAAUCAAAGUUUAGGGUACACUUGUUUUUGUUUUCUAAAUUCUAAGGCACGAAUUCUAAAUCCACAAAGAUAUUUUAUUAGAAAUAUGAGGGGGUGUUAAAAGUUGCCGGCGACGACAAUUGUACUCACUCGGCUAGGUGAAAAUGGCGGGAGUAGCUUGGCAGAUAUCUAUUAGCCCGUCAUCGACCUUGAGGGUGAGUCAUCUAUGGCGAUUUGUGAAUCCUUAGCUUACUUUUGUUGUGUAUCAAUUGUUGGAUUGUCGGUUAUGCAGAGAACUGUUCAUCAUGGGUCACGAUGCUUCUCUGGUUCGCCGGAGAAGAAAGCGCCGGCUGUUUUAAAGUGGGCAGUUGGUGGAGUCACUGAAUUGCUCCGGCUGUUCUCAGUCACUUCGUCUUCGUCAUCCAUCCCUACAAAUAAGGAUAGGUAAUCUCAGAAGCUUUCAAUUAGGGUUCCUUACUCUCCUCUGUUCGUAAUGGUCACUUCAUGUUUGAUCUGAUGGCUACAGAUCAAAGUAUGAGACUAUUGCUCGAGAUGUUGACGAUGUGAUGGGGAUUUUGAGAUCAGAUUAUGGAAAUGCCUAUUUCGUCACAGGUAUAAGACCAUCUGUUGUUCUUCGUCACUUCAAUCUGAUUGGCUUUUCCUAAGGGUUUGUGAACUUUGAAUUGAAAUUGUUUCUGUGAUUUGCAUUGAUUCAACAUAGCACAAGCUGAGCUCAUACACUAACUGUUUAACUCUAAGCUUUUGUUGCCCAUUUCUGAAACUGGAAACAGGUAUCUUUACUUCUGCAAUUUACUCGGAUGAUUGCAUCUUCGAGGACCCGACUAUCAGCUUCCAGGGUGAGGACUUACAGUACUUAAGGAUAGGUCUAUCUCAAUGUGAUAUUCAUGCUCUCUGUUUUUUCUUCUGUGAAGCUAGUAGCUUGAUGUGAUCAGAUCAGCUAUCUGAUCCUGAAUCUUGAUGUGGGAAUAAAAGUAAUCUCUUUUGGGUUUUUUUGUCGUAUUUGCAGGUACAGAGUUGUAUGAACGCAACUUGAGAUUACUGGUUCCGUUCCUCGAAGAUGCAUCCAUAGAACUGCAACAUAUGGAGAAGGUAUAACAUUUGUUAGAUCCUUCUAGUCCCAGAUGGUUUAUAGACUCAAAGUGUAUUUGUUCCCAUAAUUACAGAGUGAGUUGUCUGAAAGAAACUAUAUACUAGCGACAUGGAAGCUAAGGUAUUCUGAUUAACUGUUCAUAUAUAUACAUUGAUAAAAGUGUGAGACUUGUGCGCCAUCUUAAUGUGUAUUUCUUGAACUAUAUUCAGGACUUACCUGAAACUUCCUUGGAGACCAUUGAUAUCAAUAAACGGGAAAACGGUCUAUGAUCUGGAUAGAGACUUCAAAGUAAGAAGAGACUGAAGCUUUCCCCUCUUUCAAUCAUAAGAUUAUUACCGUCUUUCUGUCAUAUGACUGAUCCAGAGACUGUUUUUGUACAAGAUCGUGAGGCAUGUCGAGAGCUGGAAUGUCUCUGCGCUUGAAGCAGUUGGGCAGAUAUUCACCGUUAACUCUUUUCCCUCCAGUGGUUGAGAGUCUAAGCACUAACAUUCAUCAACUUGGCUAUGGUCCAUAUAAUAAUGUCUACCAAUUCUUAGUACAUAGUACAUAAACUGAUAUAAUAAAAUACCUAGUCAAAGUCUGUAAGACUUAAAUUGUAAUAGAGUGAAUACGAACGUACGAGGUAUGAAACAAAGAAAUAGGUAUUGUCACACGUAAGUAAGAAAAAAGCAUGUCAAAACCCUCUACAAUUUUAAAAAGGAUGAUUAAGGCAGCCUGGUCACAUGAUAGUGCAAGGGUGAGGGUUAUCAUCGCUUAAAUAGGUGAAAAGAGAGUCGGAUGCUGGAAAACCCAAGUUCUCAUAGUAAUCAAAGGGAUAAGGCGCAGGGGGCUUCCUCGUCGUCACCUUAGGCUCCUCGUACUUCACCAUCAACCUCGGUUUUGAAGCUGGUGCUAACCAUCCCGGUGGUCCCAUCCUUGGCGGCAAGGUAAAGAGAGGCAUCUGCAUCAUCGUCGGUGGUCCCGCAUACCCAAAACCUCUAAAAUUUUCGCCUCCUGCUGGACAAGUUUCUAGUGUAUUGGUGGUGGUGGUGGUGGUGGUGGUAGGGGCGGGUGCAGAGGUUGGUUCGUCAUGGCCCUUGUUGGGGGCGUAACGUUUAAGCAAUGAACGGAAUCGGGUCUUAGCCUUGGUUGGAUCACUCUCGUAGGCGUAAAGUUGGGGAGUUUGACCUAUUUUUCCGACGGUUUUGAUAAGAAGUGAAGGCUGUGCUGUGCCAGAGACGAAAACAAGACCCUUCACAGGGUCUAUGGUAAUGGCGUAAACUCCUUCCACUUUUCGUAGAAGCUUCUUGAUCCGAGAAGGUAAAUCUUCACAACACUGGAGAUUCAUUUUUAAUAUACAAAUCGGAAAGUCAAAAUCCUCCAUUAUCGCUUUCAAUACUUAGAAGCAACCCACUAUAGUACGUCUUCUUUUAUCUCGCUUCUGAAUGAAACGUAAAGAAAACCAGAAGACCAAUUGAUCGAUUUUCUCUCUCAAUAAUCUCUCUAUCUUAUUAGUCUGGAGUUAUUGUGUCAUGUCCGUGAUUGUUUUCAUUACUAAGUCNNNNNNNNNNNNNNNNNNNNNNNNNNNNNNNNNNNNNNNNNNNNNNNNNNNNNNNNNNNNNNNNNNNNNNNNNNNNNNNNNNNNNNNNNNNNNNNNNNNNNNNNNNNNNNNNNNNNNNNNNNNNNNNNNNNNNNNNNNNNNNNNNNNNNNNNNNNNNNNNNNNNNNNNNNNNNNNNNNNNNNNNNNNNNNNNNNNNNNNNNNNNNNNNNNNNNNNNNNNNNNNNNNNNNNNNNNNNNNNNNNNNNNNNNNNNNNNNNNNNNNNNNNNNNNNNNNNNNNNNNNNNNNNNNNNNNNNNNNNNNNNNNNNNNNNNNNNNNNNNNNUAUUGUUAGAACCGACCGUACAUUAGAUCAUGUGUGAUAACUUGAUAAUAUAUAAGUCAUUGUUGUGUGUUCUCACUUCAAUAUUCACAAUCAACAGUAAAAAAAAUAAUCUACGACAGAGAAAAAAAACAACAUACAAAAGAAAAUCACAAUUAUGAAGAGAUUUUUGGUAGCGUUUCUUCUUGUGCUCGUCUUCUUCUGUGCCGGUAAAAUGAAUCAAUCCUUUCGUUAUUAUACACGUAUAGUGGACAGAACUAGCUAGUGCAUGUUUGAUUGAUGAUGUUACUAACUUGCUAAGUUACUUACGUUGUUUUGUUUUGGAUUAAAAUGGGAAAUUAAAAUAACAGAGAUGAGAAAAGGGGAUGGAGGGAAGAUACCAGUAGUACCAGUACCAACAGGGAAAUGGUGUGGAUACGCAUUGCCGAUGAAACCAUGCAACGACGACGUCUGCGCUAAACGGUGUAUUGCGGAUAACACGCAUGGCUGGCUCAUGGCUACCGGCAUGUGCACUUCUAUCCCUAGCUUAAAGGAUUGUUACUGUGUCCAUCAGUGUCCUUGAUGUUUCUUUUUUCCACAUCCAUCAUCCACCCAAGAUGUUCUUUUUUUCUUUUUGUUCCUAAUCUAAAAUAUGAAAUACUGUAAACAUUCAUUACCCGAGAAUGACACACAGAACAAAAGAGAAUUCGAAUCACCCACAAAAAGAAAAAAAGCAUGCAAUUUUACAAGGUACGGGCUCAAAUUUGUUCUGGGCUUACAAGGCCCAAUUUAUUCGGACAAACCAAACCGUCGUCUGAAGCCGAACCGAACAAAUAAAACGUAAAUCGAUUACGUUUUGGGUUUAAUCUAGUUAUUACAUAUACUUAUGUGGCUUUAUUUAUAGUUUUGUAGCAAUGGGUUGUUUUCUUGACCAUUGAGUGACGACUCAGUGUAUUGCUUGCUUUAAUGCUUUCUCAGUUUAUCAUGAAUAUAAAUUCAUGUAAUUUACAAAGAUUAUUAAAUGACACUGAAAUAGACAAAUAGUAUUAAUUUUGAAUUUUGAUCCCAGGUGCUUGCUUCUAGAUGUCCUAUUAGUUAUUUUAUUCACUUGAGACUUGACCAUUUUAGAUUUGACAUUUUUUUUUAUUUUUUAUUUUAUAUACGUGAAGUUUUUUCUUACGUUUUUUUAGUUUUUUUUAUUGUUUUGUUUGUAUAGAGGGGAAAAAACAACUCAAAAUGGUAGAGGAACAAAGAAAUCCAAUAAACAAAAUACCCGUAACCAAUAAAUAAACAAAGAAAAAAUAAAUACUCAAUAGUAAUAGUGUAGUAUGAUUAUUACUAUUAAUCAGAAUAUUUGUUUCGGUAAUAAUGGAAUUGAUGUGUUAUUAUAUCAAUUCAUAUCGCGCGCCACCUAUCGUACUAAUUAUGUCCUCCAAGCAUAUCCUAUCAAAUAUCAAUAAUACUAAUCACAGCACUGAUUAGUUAUAUUAUAAUUUUGUCAGCUAAUCUUUUACACUAUUCAGACAGAUGUAGUUGGAUCCAUCAUUAUUUAAGUGACAACGACGCAAAUAUUGUCAGUUUCUUAACACACACACACACAGAGAAAAAAGAAGAAAUUAAAAAGCUAAUUUUGUUUGAGUAGACUAGAAGUAGUAAAUUAAUUGAGGUUAGGUGUUGUGAUUGCUUUUGGGAUUUACCUUACUCGAUAUAUUUUUCCGUACGGGCAACCACGGAAUCACCAGGCAGCAAAAGUAUAGUCAAACAAGGUCCGAAUUCAAUAAUUAUUAUCUACUUGUAAUUGUUAAUUAGUGUAUUAUACCUAAAAAAUGAAAGAAGAAAAUUUGAUCAUAUAAAAUCAAAAACAAAAAAAAAGUUUUAUGAUAAAAGUUAAAAAUGGUGUGAGGAAAAGGCCAAAUGGAUAAGAUUUGUGGUUGGUCUGAUAUAUUCAUUAUCACAACCAAGUCUUUUAUAUUUUUUGCUUUUCUAAUUUCUUUUCUUCUCAUUUAAAAGGCUAUGAUGAUCGUGCAUGUCUUUGUAUUCACCCACAUGCACAUGUGUGUUCUUCUUCUGAAUAUUAAUUUGGCCCAUCAUAUCUUUUUUAUUUCACGAAAAUUAUCUAUAUUUUUUUUACACUGUCACCUUUUUGCUGUGUGUUCGUAAUAAUUCCUAGUUAGUUCAGAAAUAGUAUAUUUUUGUUUUAAAAUCGAGUAAAGUCAUCAUAUAGCACAUGAUUACUAUUCACUUGUACUAUAUAUAUAUAUGAUUUGUAAAAUGGUUGAACUGUCGAGUAAAUUGAAAUGAUGUAUGGUCAAGAUAACACGUACGAGCAACUUAAAAAACACGUGGCCAAACUAACCUUUGUUGCCUCCCAUUGGAACAUCCAGUCGACAUGCUAAUGUAUGGUCUCGCUGUCGUCUCUAACCCAUCUUUAGGUUUUUCAUAUUAAUUUGAGUGUUUCAUAUUUAAUUUCCAUGAGCUUUCCUCUCCAAGUAUUGGUUUAACAUAAGUUAGUUAUUUGUAACCAGAAAAAAAAGAAGAAGAAGAAGAAGAAACUUUAGUUGGUUAUAUAGCAUUGUUAGUUUUGAUGGGAGAAGUAGACUAGUCGUUAAGAAUGUACGUAUAAGUUGCAUGUUGCAUAGCUUAGGUUACAGCGCUAUUGUAAUGGAGACUUUUUAUAUAUUGUUGAAGUAAUGAAUUUUAGUUUAUUAUAUAUGAAUGUCUAACCAUAUAUAAGUUUUGGUCGAAGUUAAUUUUUACGUACGCAUGUAUGUUAGUAAUUUAAGAAACGUGGUAACAGUACGUGCCAUGCGAUGACCAAAAAAUUAUAAUAAACUUAUAUUUCUCCUUUUUUUUUUGUAUAUUGACCAAUGACGACCCACAUAUAUACGGUGGUCUAGUUAUUGUAUUGUUGAUCAUCAUACAAUAGAUUCAUAAUUGAGAUUAGUCAAGAAAAACAAUAACUAAAUAAUUUUUUAAAAAAACAUGUGAAAUAAGUGAAUAUAUACCUAAAAUAAAAAUACAGAUGGAACAUGAGUUUAAUUUAUUUAUACAUUCUCAAUUAAUUUUAAAAUAAAAAAAGGUACAAAACUCACCACAAAAAGCAUGUCAGCAAAAUUCGCUUUUAUAAAUCUAAGAUAUGGUCAAAAUCGUAGUGCAUUUAGGAUACCAUUCCCCACCAAUGAACGUAACCAUACAACAACAAUGAUGAUGAUGAUGAUGAAUUUCAAAAAUACUAAAAUAACGAUUAGUGUUGAAAUGGUGACAUUAACAUAUAACCAUUUUGAAAUGGUGACGUAUAACCAUUUCGCAUAUACAAUUCGCAGACCGCACAAAUGGAAUAAACACGUUUUGGGAAAGAAGUCGACGAGCAUCCCCCAACACUACUCCGAGUCCGAGAUACGUACAUGAGCAACGUUCUCUUUUCUUUACAUAGCUGAGACCAUAUCACAUCCAUAGAUGCCAACCUUAGUUUUGUUUAUUGUCGUUUUGAUGUAAUUCAUUAUUUUGGUAGGUUAAAACUUUAAAACCUUUUUUUUUUUGUAUAGAAAAUAAUUCCGUCGGCUGAUGGAUUAAUUACUGUGCUCUAACCAAAAUAAGGUAAAGCAACAGUACCAAAUUUUGUUCUCUCACAGUGUCACAUGUGAAUGAUUAUUUAAAAUUAGUUAAAUCAUACAUUUUCAAGUAUUCCCAUACCAAGCAAUCAAUGUAUCAUUUAACAAUUCUAUCAUUAAAUAUUCCACCGAACAAUACUAGUUGUAAUUCCACAGAUUAAUUUCCAAUAAACCAAUCUAAUUCUUUUGUAUUUUUAUGUUAAUCAGCUUGUUUCAAUAACUGUUUCAUAAAGUAGUAACCAUAAUUCCUAGUAUUAAUUUAACAAUUACACACACAAAAGAACAAGGAAAAAACACUAUUUAGUUACCGUAUAAAAGUAUAUAAAAAUCCGUAGAUAUUUUUAAGAGUUAUAUAAAAGAAUUGGCUAAAAAUAAAAAAUAAAGAGUUGAUAUUUCUUUAAUCAUUGUUUUUUUAACACUCCUUUUGGACCACCGUUCCCUCAAGAAACGCACACCGUCUUUGUCUUCUCUCACGAGGUGCUUGUACUCCUCCCCCUCCUGUAAUAAUAAUAACCAACCCUCCCAAAAAAAAAAAAAAAAAAAAAAAGAAGUUCCAUUGAACUAUUGAAGAAAAAGCUUUGGCUUCUCUGUCUUCUAACUUUCUAAGCUCAAAUCCUCAUCCUUCUCUCGUAUCGCUCUCUCUGUAGAGUAUUUAAUAUAAUGUAAUAAUGAGCGUAAAUACAUAUACUCUUCUUUAUCUUUCAUGAAGUGAGAGUUUUCAUAUCUUUCUGUUCAACUCCUUUUGUCAGGAGAAACUUAAAGAUGAUUAUGAAGAAAUUGCUAUAAGAAGAAACCUAAACCCACCCAUUUAUUAAAAAAACGAGAGAAGUUCUUUUUAUCUGGUAGAUCCAUUAUAUAUUUAUUCUUAUUUUCCUAUUGAGAUUUCUUUUUUUUGGUUCCUACUAAUUG